UGUAGCCGGGCUGAGAGGUUGAACGGCCACAUUGGGACUGAGACACGGCCCAAACUCCUACGGGAGGCAGCAGUAGGGAAUUUUCGGCAAUGGAGGAAACUCUGACCGAGCAACGCCGCGUGAACGAUGAAGUAUUUCGGUACGUAAAGUUCUUUUAUUAGGGAAGAAUAAAUGAUGGAAAAAUCAUUCUGACGGUACCUAAUGAAUAAGCCCCGGCUAACUAUUGCCAGCAGCCGCGGUAAUACAUAGGGGGCAAGCGUUAUCCGGAAUUAUUGGGCGUAAAGGGUGCGUAGGCGGUAAAUAAGUUUAUGGUCUAAGUGCAAUGCUCAACAUUGUGAUGCUAUAAAAACUGUUUAGCUAGAGUAAGAUAGAGGCAAGUGGAAUUCCAUGUGUAGUGGUAAAAUGCGUAAAUAUAUGGAGGAACACCAGUAGCGAAGGCGGCUUGCUGGGUCUUUACUGACGCUGAGGCACGAAAGCGUGGGGAGCAAACAGGAUUAGAUACCCUGGUAGUCCACGCCGUAAACGAUGAGUACUAAACGUUGGGUAAAACCAGUGUUGAAGUUAACACAUUAAGUACUCCGCCUGAGUAGUACGUACGCAAGUAUGAAACUUAAAGGAAUUGACGGGACUCCGCACAAGCGGUGGAUCAUGUUGUUUAAUUCGAAGGUACCCGAAAAACCUCACCAGGUCUUGACAUGCUUCUGCAAAGCUGUAGAAACACAGUGGAGGUUAUCAGUUGCACAGGUGGUGCAUGGUUGUCGUCAGCUCGUGUCGUGAGAUGUUGGGUUAAGUCCCGCAACGAGCGCAACCCUUAUUGUUAGUUACCAGCACGUAAUGGUGGGGACUUUAGCAAGACUGCCAGUGAUAAAUUGGAGGAAGGUGGGGACGACG
rnacentral:rRNA from 1 species